AUGGACGUGGUGACUGGUGCCAUGGAAAGCCUACUUCCCAAGCUGGGUGAGCUGCUCGUUGGGGAGUACCGCCUACAGAAGGGCGUGAAGAAAGAUGUCGAGUCCCUUGAGAGAGAGAUGAAGAGCAUGCACGCUGCUCUUACAAAGGUGGCCAAGGUGCCAAGGGACCAGCUCGACCAGCAAGUCAAGAUCUGGGCAGAUGAAAUCAGGGAGCUGUCGUACGACGCAGAGGAUGUCGUUGACAAGUUCCUGGUGUCUAUCGAGGGAUCUAAUCCUACAGUCAACUCGAGCAAGCUCAAAGGGCUAAUGGAGAAGAUCACCAGCUUGUUCACCAAAGGCAAGACUCGCCAUCUGAUUGCCAAUGCAAUCAAGGACAUCAAGGACCGUGCCCAAGAGGUGGCUGACCUGCGUGACAGAUGCAAAGUCGACGAUGCUGUUGCCAAUGCAGCUAGCAUAAACAAUACCAUUGAUCCUCGUAUAUUGGCUUUAUACAAGGAUCAGAAAGAUCUCGUUGGCAUUGAAGACGCAAGGGACCAGCUAACCGAGAGGCUUACACAUGAUGAAGGAGAUACGUCAAAUCAGCCGCUCCAGAUAGUCUCUAUUGUUGGACCCGGAGGACUCGGUAAGACAACUCUUGCCAAGGCAGUGUAUGAUAGUCUUCAAACACAAUUUAAUUGCAAGGCUUUUGUUCCGGUGGGUCGAAACCCUAAUGUGAGCAAAGUUCUCAAGGACAUACUCCUGGAACUGGAACUGGGUAACUCUAUGAGUGAUAUAGCCACAUUAGAUGAAAGACAAGUCAUCAACAAACUCCGAGAUCUACUUCAAGAUAAGAGGUACUUUAUUAUUAUCGAUGACAUAUGGGAUUUAAAAGCAUGGGGAAUAAUCAAAUGUGCUUUGUUGGAUAACAAUCGUGGAAGUCGAGUAAUCACAACUACUCGCAUUCUUGAAGUUGCUGCAAAUACCGGCAAUGUCUACAAGCUAGAACCGCUUUCUCCUGAUUUGUCUGAAGAACUAUUCUAUACAAGAUUAUUUGGUGGUAAAGACAAAUGUCCUUACCGAAAAAGGGUUUCCCUCCGCUUUAUAUUAUAA
rnacentral:rRNA from 1 species